rnacentral:misc_RNA from 1 species
UCAUAUAAUUAUAAAACCCACGUUACAACAAUACAAUAAAGCGUUAAUGCACUCACAAAUUGUGAAGCGCUAAUGUGUAGUUAAAACUACGACAUGAUUUGUUAAUGAUCCUUCCGCAGGUUCACCUACGGAAA